UGCGUCACGAGUGGAGAUCCACUCAACGUUUAUUGUAGUGCCGUUUAGAAUAUUAAUACAUGUGCAAAAGUUUCAGAGUACAGCAGAUUUUGCGUAUUUAAGCGAUCUCUCGCUCGCCUUUGCGUGGUGAAGCUGAAUCUUUCUUUGGUUUUGGGCAAACUGAAGAUUGUUAUGAUGAGGCCACGAUCGAUCUUCUUUUUCUUCACAAGCUUUUACAUCAUGACUCAGGUUUUCUUUAACUCCCUCCAAGCACUCGGCGAUUUGAUAGUCAAGAGUGGUGAACUUCUUUCGAUCAACACAACUGCUCCUUCCAUUGACAGCAGUUCAAAUUCUAAUUACA